rnacentral:rRNA from 1 species
UAAUGGCGAAUGAACAGGGAUCAGCUCAGGAUGGAAAUUGGGGCCUUUGGCCUKGAAUUGUAAUCUGGAGAUGUACCACCAACUGGGGCGUAGAUGUAAGCCUUUUGGAAAAGAGCAUCAAUGAGGGUGAGAGUCCCGCAUGUCAUCUGCAGUCCCCAGUGCACGGUGUACCUUCUAAGAGUCACGUUCCUCGGGAUUGGAGCGCAAAUUGGGUGGUAAAUUUCAUCUAAAGCUAAAUAUUGCUUCGAGACCGAUAGCAAACAAGUACCAUGAGGGAAAGGUGAAAAGGACUUUGAGAAGAGAGUUAAAAGUGCCUGAAAUUGCUGAAAGGGAAGCGAAUGGAACCAGUGCAGCUUGGCAAGAUUGUUACGUGCCAGUGUGAUUGCUUGCUGCCUCAACGCAAGUGUGGCAGUAGGUCUUGAGCAUGACGCUCGUGGUGCUUCUUGCCUUGUGUGUCAACACCAGUUCACGGCUGAGGAAAACUUCAGGGACAUGGUAGCCUGUCUCCGGGUGGGUGAAUGUGCUUGCUGGAA